CCUACGGGAGGCAGCAGUGGGGAAUAUUGCGCAAUGGGCGAAAGCCUGACGCAGCGACGCCGCGUGAGGGAUGAAGGUCUUCGGAUCGUAAACCUCUGUCAGCAGGGAAGAACGGUCACUGUGCUAAUCAGCAGUGACUUGACAGUACCUGCCAAGGAGGCACCGGCUAACUCCGUGCCAGCAGCCGCGGUAAUACGGGGGGUGCGAGCGUUAGGCGGAUUUAUUGGGUUUAAAGGGUGCGUAGGCGGACUGUUCAAUCCGCGGUAAAAGCCCGGGACUCAACCCCGGCGAGCCGUUGAAACUGGGUGGCUGGAGAGGUCGAGGGGUAUGCGGAAUGCGCAGUGUAGCGGUGAAAUGCUUAGAGAUUGCGAAGAACUCCGAUUGCGAAGGCAGCAUACCGGCGGCGAUCUGACGCUGAGGCACGAAAGCGUGGGUAUCGAACAGGAUUAGAUACCCUUGUAGUC
rnacentral:rRNA from 1 species